GAAAAUUUCCUAUAGGAAUUUUUCCUAUAGGAAUUCCUAUAGGAAAAAUUCCUAUAGGAAAUUUU